CGUCAUCGAGCCCAACCCGUUGGGGCUCAUUAACGAGGGCGUUAAUUGGCCUUAAUUAGCGGCCCUAAUUAGCGGGCACCGCCCCGCCCCUCCCCCACCCCGGGCUCGGUGACCUCCGGGGACCCCGCGGGGGCUGAUGGGAAAGGGGCGGGGCCUCGGAGGGGGCGGGGCCCAGUUUGGGCUCCCAGUUUGGGGUUCCGUUCCCAGUUUGGAUUCCCAGUUUGGGUUCCCAGUUUGGAUUCCCAGUUUGGGUUCCCAGUUUAGAUUCCCAGUUUGGGGUUGGGGUCCCAGUUUGGGCUCCCAGUUUGGGGUUCAGUUCCCAGUUUGCCUUCCCAGUUUGGGGUUCCGUUCCCAGUUUGGGUUUGGAUUCCCAGUUUGGGGUUGGGGUCCCAGUUUGGGGUUGGGGUCCCAGUUUGGGGUUCCGUUCCCAGUUUGGGUUUCCAGUUUGGGUUCCCAGUUUGGGGUUGGGGUCCCAGUUUGGGUUCCCAGUUUGGGGUUCAGUUCCCAGUUUGGGGUCCCAGUUUGCGUUCCCAGUUUGGGGUUCUGUUCCCAGUUUGGGUUCUCAGUUUGGGGUUCCGUUCCCAGUUUGGGUUCCCAGUUUGGAGUCCCAGUUUGGGGUUCUGUUCCCAGUUUGGGGUCCCAGUUUGCGUUCCCAGUUUGGGGUUUCGUUCCCAGUUUGGGGUUGGGUUCCCAGUUUGGGUUCCCAGUUUGGAGUCCCAGUUCGGGUUCCCAGUUUGGGGUUCCGUUCCCAGUUUGGGUUCCGUUCCCAGUUUGGGCUCCCAGUUUGGGCUCCCAGUUUGGGGUUCCGUUCCCAGUUUCCGUUCCCAGUUUGGGGUUCUGUUCCCAGUUUGGGUUCCCAGUUUGGGUUCCCAGUUUGGGGUUCAGUUCCCAGUUUGGGUUCCCAGUUUGGGGCCAGGCCCCACCCACCAGAAUUUGGCCCCGCCCCUUUCCCGUGGGAACCAGAACCAGGGACUGGGACAAACUGGGGCCAACUGGGAUGAACUGGGACCAACUGGGACCAACUGGGACCAACUGGGACAAACUGGGACCAACUGGGACAAACUGGGACCGACUGGGACCAACUGGGACCAACUGGGAGAGCAAAACUGGGACUGGGACAAACUGGGACCAACUGGGGUGAACUGGGACAAACUGGGAGAGCGAAACUGGGACUGUUGGACUGGGCCAAACUGGGAUGAACUGGGACAAACUGGGAUAAACUGGGACUGGGCCAAACUGGGCCAUAGUGGAACAAGGUGGCACCAGAGACUGGGGCAAACUGGGGCAAACUGGGCCAAACUGGGACAGGGGGACACCGGGAACUGGGCCAAACUGGGAGAGGAGGGAAUGAGGCCGAACUGGGAAAUGGAGCCAUACUGGGACAGGGUGACACGGGGGAACUGGGCCAAACUGGGACUGUGGAACUGGGCCAUACUGGGACAGCAGCACUGGGCCAAACUGGUCCAUACUGGGACAGGAAGAACCCAGGGACUGGGCCAUACUGGGACAGGGUGACACGGGGGAACUGGGCCAAACUGGGACUGUCGAACUGGGCCAAACUGGACCAUACUGGGACUGUGGAAUUGGGCCAAACUGGGACGGGGUAACACCGGGGACUGGGCCAAACUGGGAUGGGGUAACACCGGGGAACUGGGCCAAACUGGGACGGGGUGACCCCGGGAACUGGGCCAUACUGGGACUGUGGAACUGGGCCAAACUGGGACAGGGUAACACGGGGGAACUGGGCCAAACUGGUCCAUACUGGGACAGGAAUAACCCAGGGACUGGGCCAUACUGGGACAGGGUGACACCAGGAACUGGGACAAACUGGGACAGGAAUAACCCAGGGACUGGGCCAAACUGGGACGGGGUGACACGGGGGAACUGGGACAAACUGGGACUGUGGAACUGGGCCAAACUGGGACGGGGUAACACCGUGGACUGGGCCAAACUGGGAUGGGGUAACACUGGGGAACUGGGCCAAACUGGUCCAUACUGGGACAGGAAUAACCCAGGGACUGGGCCAUACUGGGACAGGGUGACACCAGGAACUGGGACAAACUGGGACAAACUGGGAGAGGAGGGAAUGAGGCCAAACUGGAAAUGGGGCCAAACUGGGACAGGGUGACACUGUGGAACUG
rnacentral:lncRNA from 1 species